rnacentral:lncRNA from 1 species
ACGAUGAAGCCGUGAGGUUAGAUCUUGAGAAUCAUGAAGUCGAAGUUACAGAUUCUGUACACGACAUGACGCCGGAGCAACUGGUUGACCAGACCACCGGCGAUGUUAAUAGCGACCAAAUUCAGAUGGCGGUGAAGACCGAGCGGCCUGUAGAUGAUGAUGUCAUCCAAGAAAAGUCGUAUCAGCCACAAUCGGUAUCUGGAAUCAGUGUUGAAACCAUGGAAUCCGAUCUAUGUGAGCAUGACGGCGACAAUCAUGAAGUCAAAGUUGCAGAUCCUGUACACGAUAUGAAGCCGGAACAAUUGGUUGAACAGAUCACCGGCGAGCUUAAAAAUAACCAAGUUCAGACGGCGGUGGCGGCCCAGCGGCCUGUAGAUGACAUCAUCCAAGAGAACUCCGAUCAGGAUCAGGCACAUUCGGAAUCUGGUACAUGUAUUGAAACCAUAGAGUGUGACGGCGGCACAGAAGCUCGUGAUAUCAAUCUGGAGCCACAUGUGGAACCGGAAGGGAAAC